ACAGGGGUUGUCUUUGUUCCAUGUCACAACCAAAUUCUAUGCUGCCUUAACUUUCCAGCCAAAAGUAAUCCUCUUUUCUUUCAAAAUCCUUCAGCGUUUUGCCUGUUCCCUUGAGGCACUUUCUUAUCUCACCUACUGAAAGAGUGCAGAGGAGCCUGGCCAGAGCAGUGGGGAGUGGUCGGGUUCUGCAUGCACAUGGAAGGCAGAGCAGCAGGAUUUGGGGAUGGACUGGAGGUGGGGUGGGAGGGGCAGAGAGAACUGGAAGUUGGCUCAGGAUGUUUAGGCUGAGUACCCAGAAGCUGGGAGUUGCAGUUCACUGAGACGGGAAGACUUCAGGGAAAGGCACUAAGGGCUGGGCAGGGCAGAAUUCCGGCUUAAGUUUGAAAGGGCGAGUGGUGAUGUGGGUGUGUACUUGGGUGUUGGAGCCUCCCGUUCAAGAGGGAAGGAUAGGCAGGAGUUAUACAUUUGGGAGCAAUCAACAUAGAGAUACUCCUUAAAUUCGUGACUGUGGAUGGAGUCACCCACAGAGAGAGAGAAUGUAGAUAGAAAAGGUCUGAGGACCAAGCUCUAAGACUCUCCGGCAGGAAGAGGUCAGGGAGAUGGGGAAGAACCAGCAAAGACGUCUGAGAUGAGAUGGAAGGGGCCCCAGGGGACUGUGGGUCGCAGGAACAAGAAAGUGGAGGAAUCAACUGGGAAAGUGAGGGCAGAGGCCUGACCUCUGGGUCACGGAGGCCACAGGCGCCCCGGACAAGAAGUAGUGCCGGCAAGAGUUGGCGUGGAUUCAAGACCAGAAUCGAAGGCAGUGAGGAUAAACCCCUUUUCCAAGCAGUAUGGCUGAAACGGGUAAGAGAAGAACGGGAGGGCAGCGCCCAGGGAGCUGUGGAUGCGGCCCUCCAAGGACAGCAAGGGGUUCCAGGGCCCUGCUGGGCGGAGGUGGGGCUCCCCUUCCAACCCUGAGCGGCCGAGCUAAGAGAAGAGCUCGUCUCCCACGCUGCGUGCAUGACGCUGCCGUCAACAGCCGGUCUCCCUCCUUGUCAUCACAUCCUGUGGGGUUGAAGGACGAACAGAAGCCCAAGAAUAGUGCGAUCCCGCUUCUGCCUCUAACCUGACGCCCCGGCCUUCUGGCCCUUCAGCGGAGGGCCCUGUGUCUGUGAGUGUGUUUCUGCUGCGGGCGGCCGCCCAGAGGGGCCACCAGGCCCGCUCGGGCCCCCAUCCCAGCCCUGAGCACUGCACUGCGGCUGGUGCCCUGCCUGCACCCCGGCCCCGACCGAAAGGCAGAAGCCCUUUUAGCUCCCUCCACUGGCAAGCCCAGCCUCUGGGGGACAGGAUCCCCAACUAGUUUUGCAAAGAAGACAGCACAGUGUUACCCAUUCGCGCCUGAAAUACCUUGGGACCCCCAACUGGACCAGGUGCUGCUCCAGGCAGCAGGGGGUGCAGAGCUGUCAACAAAACAAACAGGAAACUGCACCCCAGGAGGCCACAUUCCAGGGUGAGUGAGUGACAUUAACCAGAUUCUUAAGAAUCCUAGCCUUAAACUGAUGUCUCCUUGUCUGGCUUUCGGUCACCCUGGGCCCUGCAGUCCCCACCUCUGCCUGCUGCCCCUACCUCAUCCUGCUGCCUGGUCCUGGUCACCUUGGGAGUCAGCACAGAUUUCAGGGCAAGGCUAAGGGUAGAUUCAGACAGAGGUGACACAGAGAGAUGGCCCCAGUGGGUGCUCAGGGACAACGCCCGCUCCCUCCUAGCUGAGUUUGGUCCAAACUGGGGUCCUGGGAAACUCACAUCUGUAAGUCUAACUUUGCUGGUGGGUUUGGAGGAAAGUACAUCUGCCCUGCGCGUUCUCUGCUGCCUCUGCUUCCUAUCUGAUAUCCAAGCAGGGAGCCGCAGGGGACUUCUAGGGGGAUCUAGGGGUGGCUGGGCCAUCGCCUGGAGGUGCUGUAUGGCACACAAGGACGCACACCAGCUCUGAGGGCCCUGGACUGGGCCAGGCAGUUUGCCUGCCCAGGGUUCCUUCUUUGGGCCACAGCGCCAUGAUUCUGCUUUGGGGAAGUACACUUUCCCCCAGUCAUAGUGGGAUUGUCGGUCUGGCUGCCUGCCUGCAAUGGGCACAGCCGCCAGGGUGGCCUAUCAGAUUUUCUCUUGCACAGACAUGAGGUCAGCUGGACAGAUUUGUCCCAGUGGGCCUGUCAGUGUUAUUCUGCUACUCAGAUACCAGAUGGCCCUGGUCCCUGUCCUUUUAAAGUGUGAUCAUUCAGUUCUCUCUUCUGUUCUGGGAACUACCCAUUUCUGUCCAAUAUAUCUGUUGUCUCGCCUAGAUUAUCCAGACUAGUUUUCUGUUGCUGGCAAGCUUAGGGCCCUAAGUGUUGAGGAAGCUAAUCUGCUUGUCCCUGGUCCUGACCCUGCACUGGGAAAGGCUGACGUAGAACCAGUCAGGGUUACAGGGGCCUCGGAGCCCUGCUUUCCCUGGGGACGGUGAAGCCCCCUGCUGUGGGCUCAAUGUUGCCUCGAAGAAAAUUCCUUCAUAUUUUGGACCAUGGUUUCUAGAAUGUUCUCUUUACCUUGCCUGAGUCUGGGGUAGGAGGGAGGUCCUGUCAGCAUUUGCCCAACAUCCAGCGUGGCCCCCCCGGUUCUGACUCCCUGUUAGGCCAGGCUCUAAGGUGGCUGUCUCCCUCCUCGCCUUCUUUUUCAGAGCAGCUCACGUAAGAGCCCUGGAGCUCAAGGCUAGGAGACAGGGACAGUGUAAGGCAGAGAGGAAAGAGCCAGAACGUUAAGUCUAACACACCUGGUGGCGGCAGCUCUGCAGCUUGCAGGGGGUGGUCCGCUUUUGUGCACCAGUGCACCUCCAGCGACGGCUCCCAGAAGUGCUCGGUGAAUGACAGCUCUCAAGUGAACCUGCUUCUAAGGAGGGUGGGACAUCUGGAGGUCCCCCUUUUCCCCUCUGAAUGAGCACCUCCCUGGUUGCUGCACUUCUCAGCUUGGUCUCAGAACAUGCUGCCCCAGGAGGUAUAAGCAUCCUCCUGCAUGUGUUCCAGUUGGGAAGACCACCGGACAGGGAUGUUUUAUGAGGAUCUGUGCUCAAGAUGGGAAGUUGGGCUAAAUGAACUCUAAGAUCCCUUCAAACCUGGGGGUUGAUUAUUCCACUUCUAUUUCUUGCUUUUUAACCUUCAAAAUAUUUUUAACUGUGAACUUUUAAGCAUGUGGAAAAUGGCACAAACAGUACAAUAAAUAACAAACUCCACUGAACUGUCAAAUUUAACUUUUGCCAUGUUUGUUCUGGAUACAAAUGAGCCCUGUGCAGAUCUGUGAGUUUUUAAAAGUAAAUGUUAAUUGAGGUAUAAUUUACAUAUAAUAAAGUACACAGAUUUUGAAUGUA